rnacentral:rRNA from 1 species
CGAAGGGUGCAAGCGUUACUCGGAAUUACUGGGCGUAAAGCGUGCGUAGGUGGUUUCGUUAAGUCUGAUGUGAAAGCCCCGGGCUCAACCUGGGAACGUGCAUUGGAUACUGGCGAUCUGGAGUGCGGUAGAGGGUGGCGGAAUUCCCGGUGUAGCAGUGAAAUGCGUAGAUAUCGGGAGGAACAUCCGUGGCGAAGGCGGCCACCUGGACCAGCACUGACACUGAGGCACGAAAGCGUGGGGGAGCAAACAGGAUU